AGCCUGCAACCCGGCUCCGUGAAGCUGGAUUCGCUAGUAAUCGCGCAUCAGCCAUGGCGCGGUGAAUACGUUCCCGGGCCUUGUACACACCGCCCGUCAAGCCAUGGGAGCCGGGGCGCCUGAAGUGCGGUACCGCGAGGGCCGCCCAAGGGCGAGACCGGUGACUGGGGCUAAGUCGUAACAAGGUACC
rnacentral:rRNA from 1 species